CCCCCGCGCCCCGUCCCCGCCGCCUCGCGGGCCCGGCGUCAGCGCGCGCGGCGCCCCGGGACCGCCCCGCGCCGGCCCCCACCCCAAAACCCGCGGCGGGGGCCGGGGGGCCAGGCAGGGGGGAGACGGCGGCGGGGUGACCUUGGGCGAGUCGCGGCAGGCGGCUGAGCCGCCCUCAAGCCCAUCCUAUCGUUGUCUUGAAAUUCAGCCACAUUUCUCAGGAAUAUAGACAAUGUUCUUUAAAGUAUCUUUCCACUGACCUCCAGCAGGGCGUCCAGAGUUACAUCAAAAGCCUUCAGUGUCUUUCCACCCUCCACCUCCAGCUAUCCUGGGCCCAGUGCUAGGAGCUGGGGCCCCGGGAAGAUCCGAUUCCAACAAGACUUGUAAGGGGCUCCCGGCCCUGUAUCUGCAGGAAAGCAGCCCAGAUGACAGCUCACAGAGGAGACAGGGGGAGGGGUGUCUAUUCAACUUGGAAGGGCGGGAGCCCUAGAGAGGGCAGAAGAUCAUAAAACUCUUCCUAGAAGUUCUGAGAGGCAUUUCGGCAAAGUGAAAAAGAAGCAUCUGGAAGCUUGCCUGAGCAUCAGUGCCCUCAUCUCUAAAGAGAGGAAUGGAAGCCCACCUCACC